rnacentral:rRNA from 1 species
UACGGAGGGUGCAAGCGUUAUCCGGAUUUACUGGGCUUAAAGGGUGCGUAGGUGGGUAGGAAAGUCAGUGGUGAAAUCUUCGGGCUUAACCCGGAAACUGCCAUUGAUACUAUUUAUCUUGAAUACUUUGGAGGUAAGCGGAAUAUGUCAUGUAGCGGUGAAAUGCUUAGAUAUGACAUAGAACACCAAUUGCGAAGGCAGCUGGCUACACGAAUAUUGACACUGAUGCACGAAAGCGUGGGGAUCAAACAGG